rnacentral:rRNA from 1 species
GACGAACGCUGGCGGCGUGCUUAACACAUGCAAGUCGAACGAAGAGCGAUGGACGCUUGCUUCUAUCAAUCUUAGUGGCGCACGGGUGAGUAACGCGUAAUCAACCUGCCCUUCAGAGGGGGACAACAGUUGGAAACGACUGCUAAUACCGCAUACGAUCUAAUCUCGGCAUCGAGGAUAGAUGAAAGGUGGCCUCUACAUGUAAGCUAUCACUGAAGGAGGGGAUUGCGUCUGAUUAGCUAGUUGGAGGGGUAACGGCCCACCAAGGCGAUGAUCAGUAGCCGGUCUGAGAGGAUGAACGGCCACAUUGGGACUGAGACACGGCCCAGACUCCUACGGGAGGCAGCAGUGGGGAAUCUUCCGCAAUGGACGAAAGUCUGACGGAGCAACGCCGCGUGAGUGAUGACGGCCGUCGGGUUGUAAAGCUCUGUUAAUCGGGACGAAAGGCCUUCUUGCGAAUAGUGAGAAGGAUUGACGGUACCGGAAUAGAAAGCCACGGCUAACUACGUG